rnacentral:misc_RNA from 1 species
UCAAUUCUUUUUCUUUUAUUUUUUCUUCUGUUUGUAAAUUUGUUUAUUCCUGAUUUUUUCCCCUUAGUUUAUAUAAUUUCUAAUAUUGUAGCUUGCAGUAUAUUUUUUAAUAGCUAUUGGAGCCAUUUAUUUGAACUUAUUCAUUACUUGGAUUCAGUAAUUGGACUGAAAAUAGUAUAGUCAUAAUGGCUUUCUUGAAUUAAAAUCGUAUAAUGAGCUAGUAGCAUAAAAUGGUAGAAGUGUUUUAGCACUAGAAUUAAGCAUUGAUUAUGGGAAUGAUUUAUUGUAGGAUUAAUUGAUCGUAUUUCCAUACAUGUUCUAACGUUAACAAUAUCUAAUUCCCAUCAGCUAAUCAAGCUUCUUUCUACUCUUCUCAUCUAUUUCAACAUGGCAUC